rnacentral:rRNA from 1 species
GUCGAGGGGCAGCAUGGUCUUAGCUUGCUAAGGCCGAUGGCGACCGGCGCACGGGUGAGUAACACGUAUCCAACCUGCCGUCUACUCUUGGACAGCCUUCUGAAAGGAAGAUUAAUACAAGAUGGCAUCAUGAGUCCGCAUGUUCACAUGAUUAAAGGUAUUCCGGUAGACGAUGGGGAUGCGUUCCAUUAGAUAGUAGGCGGGGUAACGGCCCACCUAGUCUUCGAUGGAUAGGGGUUCUGAGAGGAAGGUCCCCCACAUUGGAACUGAGACACGGUCCAAACUCCUACGGGAGGCAGCAGUGAGGAAUAUUGGUCAAUGGGCGAGAGCCUGAACCAGCCAAGUAGCGUGAAGGAUGACUGCCCUAUGGGUUGUAAACUUCUUUUAUAAAGGAAUAAAGUCGGGUAUGGAUACCCGUUUGCAUGUACUUUAUGAAUAAGGAUCGGCUAACUCCGUGCCAGCAGCCGCGGUAAUACGGAGGAUCCGAGCGUUAUCCGGAUUUAUUGGGUUUAAAGGGAGCGUAGAUGGAUAUUUAAGUCAGUUGUGAAAGUUUGCGGCUCAACCGUAAAAUUGCAGUUGAUACUGGAUAUCUUGAGUGCAGUUGAGGCAGGCGGAAUUCGUGGUGUAGCGGUGAAAUGCUUAGAUAUCACGAAGAACUCCGAUUGCGAAGGCAGCCUGCUAAGCUGCAACUGACAU